GACUGGUUGCCAGUUUCUUUUCUGGGAGGCUGCGGGUUCUGCCUUCAGGAGUUUGAUCUGUGCCUUCAAAAGCUUGCUAACCUGAUCUGCUGACUGCUUCUGUGUGUGUUGUUUCUUGAAAAGUGCUUGCCCUUGGAGAAAUUUCUGCACCUUCCCCAAGGAAACAGGAAGAGGGCCUUGCUGAAAAGGAAAAUCAUCUUUGGGGAUCUUAAUCUUCUGAAGAACUUCUGAUGUUAACCCAGAAACAUCUCUGCUGAAAUUUCUGAUAGACUGUAACUCUCCCAGAGCAAACCAUAUCAAUGAGCUGGAAACCUGAGUUGUGAUUUUAGUAGAUGGGAAGCUACACACUCAACUCAUCAGCAAAGUGGAACCUUCAUUUAUAGUUAGAGUGGUUAUAUCAGUGUCACAGUCUGAGUUCACCUUGAUUUGUAGGGAGUCUGUGGGGCCUGAAAAACAUGUUAUGUUGCUUUGGCUGUAGAAGCAUCAAUGUAUGUUGUGUACCACGUAAUGGCAUUUAGGUCAAUGGUACCACAAAAACAGUUUCCAUCUCAUGAGGUUAUAUAGCCCAGUUAUAGCAUAGUUUGUAUAGAUGUAAUCUCAUUGAUGUCUCACCAGUGUAUCUCUCAAAAUAUGGCUCCAUCAUUAAGUGAGGUAUGUGACAGUUCUGGUUGAUAAUCAGUACUUAAUAGGAGAUAUUCUGCCAAGGAGGACCUGACUAUUAAGCUUUAAUAACUUAAAGAUAACUGAGAACAGGCAAAUUGCAGUCUCCUUCUAUUUUUAGAGUCUGAAAUGUGUCCGAUUGGAAAGUGAUUUCUUGAGUAAAUAAGAUAUUAUCUCAAGUGAUUGUGUCUGAGAAGGAAUAGAUGUUUCUCAGUGCAGGUGUUUUGCCUUAACUUAACCUUAGAGUAAGUAGUUACUCUUACAAGGAAUAUAUUUUCAGAUAAAAAUUGUAUUUCUUUCCUGACAAAAGACUUAAAGUAAUUUGUGGUCCUGAUACUGAAAGUUAUCCAACUCCUCUGUAUUGCUCACAGAAACAUCCUGUUUUUUUUUUUUCAUUCUUUGUAGCUUCACAAAGAACCUCUUGAACAUGUGUCAGCCAACUUUUUCUGUAGAAAGAUUCCAAAUACUUUAGACUCUUAAAGCCACAGACAAUACGUAAGUGAAGAAUGUGGUCAUCUUCUGAUAAAAAAAAUUAUAAAAUAAGCCUCUGGAUUAUAGUCAACUUUUGUUCUGGAAUAUACAACA